GGUGGUUUGUCGCGUCGUCUGUGAAAUCCCGGGGCUUAACCUCGGGCGUGCAGGCGAUACGGGCAUAACUUGAGUGCUGUAGGGGAGACUGGAAUUCCUGGUGUAGCGGUGAAAUGCGCAGAUAUCAGGAGGAACACCAAUGGCGAACGCAGGUCUCUGGGCAGUAACUGACGCUGAGGAGCGAAAGCAUGGGUAGCGAACAGGAUUAGAUACCCUGGUAGUCCAUGCCGUAAACGGUGGGCGCUAGGUGUAGGGGACUUCCACGUCUUCUGUGCCGCAGCUAACGCAUUAAGCGCCCCGCCUGGGGAGUACGGCCGCAAGGCUAAAACUCAAAGGAAUUGACGGGGGCCCGCACAAGCGGCGGAGCAUGUGGAUUAAUUCGAUGCAACGCGAAGAACCUUACCUGGGCUUGACAUACACCAGAUCGCUGCAGAGAUGUAGCUUCCCUUGUGGCUGGUGUACAGGUGGUGCAUGGUUGUCGUCAGCUCGUGUCGUGAGAUGUUGGGUUAAGUCCCGCAACGAGCGCAACCCUUGUCUUAUGUUGCCAUCACGUGAUGGUGGGCACUCAUGAGAGACUGCCGGGGUUAACUCGGAGGAAGGUGGGGAUUACGUCAAAUCAUCAUGCCCCUUAUGUCCAGGGCUUCACACAUGCUACAAUGGUCGGUACAGCGAGUUGCCACACCGUGAGGUGGAGCUAAUCUCUCAAAGCCGGCCUCAGUUCGGAUUGGGGUCUGCAACUCGACCCCAUGAAGUCGGAGUCGCUAGUAAUCGC
rnacentral:rRNA from 1 species